rnacentral:rRNA from 1 species
GAUUAACGCUGGCGGCGUGCCUAACACAUGCAAGUCGAACGAAGUGGCGGAAGGGUGAGUAACGCGUGAGUAACCUGCCUUAGAGAAGGGGAUAGCCUUUGGAAACGAAGAAUACUACCCUAUGCUCUAAGAUGGGCUUGCGUCUGAUUAGUUAGUUGGUGGGGUAACGGCCCACCCAGACAGCGAUCAGUAGCCGGCUUGAGAGAGGGUACCGCCACACUGGGACUGAGACACGGCCCAGACUCUACCGGAGGCAGCAGUGGGGAAGUUUGCACAAUGGGGGAAACCCUGAUGCAUCGACGCCGCGUGAUUUAGAAGGCCUUGGGGUUGUAAAAAUCUUUUCUAUGGGAAGCAGUACCAUAGGAAUAAGGACCGGCUAAUUACGUGCCAGCAGCCGCGGUAAUUC